GCCCAACUUUUCUUCGUUUUUAUUACAAAAAAAUUCGCAGGGCUUUAUUCUCAUAAAUCAACUGUCUUGUAAAAUUCGUAGUAAAUUCAAUUCCUAUCGGAUUUCGACGAUUCUUGAUGUUUCGGAAAGUUCUUUCAAUCUCCUACAACUUUCGUUCACAAUAUUUUCGUAGAUCCUGUUUCGAACUAUUCUCAAAAUUACAAAACUUAUCCAGAUCCUGUUCAUUCUUUGGAUUCUGAAUCAGCAGAUAUUUUAUUUAAUUCCCGACUCGUUAUAACUCCGAUUUUUAUGAGCCAUACCUUUUCAGAAAGGUCUUUUCAUUCUCUAUGACUUUUGUGUUUUGAGUUUUUCCAUAAAACAUCGUUUAGAAGGUCAAAACAGUUGAUUCUUGGUCUGGGCAGAUUGGAAUCAUGAAGAUAUUUGGAGUUUAAGAUCAAGUCGGGGUUCAGGAGUUUAG
rnacentral:lncRNA from 1 species